rnacentral:rRNA from 1 species
UACGUAGGGUGCAAGCGUUGUCCGGAAUUAUUGGGCGUAAAGAGCGUGUAGGCGGCCCGAUUAGUCCGCUGUGAAAGUCCAGGGCUCAACCCUGGAAUGCCGGUGGAUACUGUCGGGCUAGAGUCCGGAAGGGGCGAGUGGAAUUCCUGGUGUAGCAGUGAAAUGCGCAGAUAUCAGGAGGAACACCAAUGGCGAAGGCAGCUCGCUGGGACGUGACUGACGCUGAGACGCGAAAGCGUGGGGAGCAAACAGG